rnacentral:rRNA from 1 species
UGGGGAAUUUUGGACAAUGGGCGCAAGCCUGAUCCAGCCAUGCCGCGUGCGGGAAGAAGGCCUUCGGGUUGUAAACCGCUUUCGGCCGGAACGAAAUCGCCCGGGUGAAUAGCCCGGGUGGAUGACGGUACCGGAAGAAGAAGCACCGGCUAACUACGUGCCAGCAGCCGCGGUAAUACGUAGGGUGCGAGCGUUAAUCGGAAUUACUGGGCGUAAAGCGUGCGCAGGCGGUCUCGUAAGACAGGUGUGAAAUCCCCGGGCUCAACCUGGGAACUGCGCUUGUGACUGCGAGGCUGGAGUGUGGCAGAGGGAGGUGGAAUUCCACGUGUAGCAGUGAAAUGCGUAGAGAUGUGGAGGAACACCGAUGGCGAAGGCAGCCUCCUGGGCCAGCACUGACGCUCAUGCACGAAAGCGUGGGGAGCAAACAGGAUUAGAUACCCUGGUAGUCCACGCCCUAAACGAUGACGACUAGUUGUUGGGGUA